AGGGGUGCAGGCCCACUAGUGGGGGUGCUGGAAAGAACGUAGAGUCUAUUCGUCUGGGCUUGCGAAAUUGGUUCGGGCAGAAGGCCCAAUUCUUGCCUUUACCUGGUUCGAUCACCAACAAGAAGAUUCGUUCCUCUUGGAGAAGCUAACGUGCUCGACAGUGUCUCACACACGAACACGACGUCAUCUUCUCCGUAAUCGCCGAGAGCUUCAGCGUGAAUCAUAACACAUCGCGGCGCGAGUCAUCUAGCAUUCUAACGGCUUCACGCGUCCUUCUCCAAGAACAAAAUUGGAAUGAAAGUGACGAAAAAGAAUAGCUCCAAGGUCAAUCUCAGAGAUUCAAUACAACUUCCAACCUUCUUACACCCUUCGUCUUGGUGCGCACGGAAUUGAAAAUAACGAAGUCGAUACGAAGCAGAGAACUCACCGAUCCAAAGUCUUGAUGCAGACAGAUUCUGAUCUUCUUUCCUUCCAACUUCGAUAUUUUUCUCCUUCCUGUUUAUUUCUCCAGUUUGAAUUCGGGGAGUGGAUUCCGGUCUUGUGUCCGGCGGAGCGAGGUUGGCAAUAGACGAUUUUAGGCGGCUCGAAGGAAGAGCGAGGGCGAUUGGAUUUCGUCGUUAGCAGGUCAUUGAAGGAGUUUCUGGUGGAGAUUCGAUUUACCAAAAAAGGAGAUGGUUUAUCAGUUCUGUUUCUCGUAUAAGCUUCCAUUUGUGAAACUCCUUUUUGUUGAAUCCAUUCCUGCAGGUGGUCGUUAGAGAUGAAGAGGAUGAGAUUGGAUUGAAGGUGACGAGAAUAUGGAAUCAGCGCUUGGUUGAAAGAAAAGAAUCGAAUCAGAGUUUGAUUGAAGGUGGUGAACAAGGAGUGAAGAAGAUUGAUGGUAAUCGAGAGGAGAAAAAAAUCCAGAGAGUUCUGAACUUGUGAAGGUUGUUGAAUCCAAAACAUUUUCGGGCAUGUGCAGGUUAUAUGGAUAUUUGAUGUGGAUGCGGCUUUGUGUUCCUGCGUUUUGCUGCCGUCGUGGCUUGUAUCAUGUAUUUCAGUCGUAUAGCAGCUUGUACAAGCUUCUGAAUUUUUUCUGCAUUUCUACUGAUAUGUUUGUACUGAUAUAUUCAAUGGUUCUACUCAAUGUACAUUAGUUAAUGGUGUUGUAA